CGUCAGAUGACGCUACGCAGCCUAAACAGGCAGUCGGACGGGAUCCACUGGUAGCUUGCUACCGGCUGGUGAGAUGGCGCACGGGUGCGUAACGCGUGAGCAACCUACCCAUAUCAGGGGGAUAGCCCGAAGAAAUUCGGAUUAACACCGCAUGACACAAAUUGACCGCAUGGUCUUAUUUGUCAAAUAUUCAUAGGAUAUGGAUGGGCUCGCGUGACAUUAGCUAGUUGGUGGGGUAACGGCCCACCAAGGCGACGAUGUCUAGGGGCUCUGAGAGGAGAAUCCCCCACACUGGUACUGAGACACGGACCAGACUCCUACGGGAGGCAGCAGUAAGGAAUAUUGGUCAAUGGGGGCAACCCUGAACCAGCCAUGCCGCGUGCAGGAUGACUGCCCUAUGGGUUGUAAACUGCUUUUGUUAGGGAAUAAACCCCACUACGUGUAGUGGGCUGAAUGUACCUAAAGAAUAAGGAUCGGCUAACUCCGUGCCAGCAGCCGCGGUAAUACGGAGGAUCCGAGCGUUAUCCGGAUUUAUUGGGUUUAAAGGGUGCGUAGGCGGCACUUUAAGUCAGGGGUGAAAGACGGCAGCUCAACUGUCGCAGUGCCCUUGAUACUGAAGUGCUUGAAUGCGGUUGAAGACGGCGGAAUGAGACAAGUAGCGGUGAAAUGCAUAGAUAUGUCUCAGAACACCGAUUGCGAAGGCAGCUGUCUAAAGCCGUUAUUGACGCUGAUGCACGAAAGCGUGGGGAUCGAACAGGAUUAAUACCCUGGGUAGUCCAGCCCUAACGAUGAUGACUCGAUGUUGCGAUUUACCGUAAGCGUCCAGCGAAGCGUAGUCAUCCACCUGGGG
rnacentral:rRNA from 1 species